UACAGAGGUCUCAAGCGUUGUUCGGAUUCAUUGGGCGUAAAGGGUGCGUAGGUGGCGCCGUAAGUCGGGUGUGAAAUUUCGGAGCUUAACUCCGAAACUGCAUUCGAUACUGCGGUGCUUGAGGACUGGAGAGGAGACUGGAAUUCAUGGUGUAGCAGUGAAAUGCGUAGAGAUCAUGAGGAAGACCAGUGGCGAAGGCGGCUUUCUGGGCCUUACCUGACGCUGAGACGCGAAAGCGUGGGGAGCGAACCGG
rnacentral:rRNA from 1 species